rnacentral:tRNA from 1 species
GCACCGGUGGUAUAAUGGCGUAGAGCAUUCCUGCUCUGUCAGCAGGUGGUGCAGGUUCGAGUCCCGCCUGGCGCU